GGAAGUAAACGUAACAAGGUUUCCGUAGGUGAACCUGCGGAAGGAUCAUUAUUGUAUAACCGAGGUGCGAGGGCUGUCGCUGACCCGAAAGGUCGUGCACGCCCGAGUGCCCUCACACACAUCCAUCUCACCCCUAUGUGCACCACCGCGUGGGUCCCCCUUUGGCUUGCUCGGAGGGGGGCUUACGUUUUCACACAAACUUUGUAUGCAGUGUAGAAUGUAUUUUUUGUUUUUGCGAUCACGCAAUCAAUACAACUUUCAACAACGGAUCUCUUGGCUCUC
rnacentral:misc_RNA from 1 species